GCUCGUCAGGCUCAUAACCUGAAGGUCGUAGGUUCAAAUCCUACCCCCGCAA
rnacentral:tRNA from 1 species